GUUGUAGAAGUGGUUAUAAUGGAGGAUCCCAAAAAAAAUGACUUUCACCAUGCUGUAGUGAAUCGGCAAUAAGGGAUCUUCACAAAUAUAAUGAAACUACUAUCAAUAUUGUAUCACCAAUGCUAAUGUAUCAUUAAAUGCAAAUCUUCAAUACACGUAAUAAAUUUUUUCUGCAAA